GGUUUGAUUAUGGCUCAGAUUGAACGCUGGCGGGAUGUUUUUACACAUGCAAGUCGAACGGCAGCACGGACUGGUCUGGUGGCGAGUGGCGAACGGGUGAGUAAUGUAUCGGAACGUGCCUAGUAGCGGGGAUAACUACGCGAAAGCGUAGCUAAUACCGCAUACGCUCCUUCGGGGAAAGCGGGGGACCUUCGGGCCUCGCACUAUUAGAGCGGCCGAUAUCGGAUUAGCUAGUUGGUGGGGUAACGGCUCACCAAGGCGACGAUCCGUAGCUGGUUUGAGAGGACGACCAGCCACACUGGGACUGAGACACGGCCCAGACUCCUACGGGAGGCAGCAGUGGGGAAUUUGGACAAUGGGGGAAACCCCUGAUCCAGCCAUCCCGCGUGUGCGAUGAAGGCCUUCGGGUUGUAAAGCACUUCGCGCAGGAAAGAAACGGCACGGGAUAAUACCCUCGUGCAACUGACGGUACCUGCAGAAUAAGCACCGGCUAACUACGUGCCAGCAGCCGCGGUAAUACGUAGGGUGCAAGCGUUAAUCGGAAUUACUGGGCGUAAACGUGCGCAGGCGGUUCGGAAAGAAAGAUGCGGAAAUCCCAGAGCUUAACUUUGGAACUGCAUUUUUAACUACCGAGCUAGAGGUGUCAGAGGGAGGUGGAAUUCCGCGUGUAGCAGUGAAAUGCGUAGAUAUGCGGAGGAACACCGAUGGCGAAGGCAGCCUCCUGGGAUAACACUGACGCUCUAUGCACGAAAGCGUGGGGAGCAAACAGGAUUAGAUACCCUGGUAGUCCACGCCCUAAACGAUGUCAACUAGCUGUUGGGGCCUUCGGGCUCCUGGUAGCGCAGCUAACGCGUGAAGUUGACCCCGCCUGGGAGUACGGUCGCAGAUUAAAACUCAAAGGAAUUGACGGGACCCGCACAAGCGGUGGAUGAUGUGUGGAUUAAUUCGAUGCAACGCGAAAAACCUUACCUACCCUUGACAUGUCUGGAAUCCCGAAGAGAUUUGGGAGUGCUCGCAAGAGAACCGGAACACAGGUGCUGCAUGGCUGUCGUCAGCUCGUGUCGUGAGACAGUGUUAUUGGGAGCCCCGCAACGAGCGCAACCCUUGUCAUUAGUUGCUACGAAAGGCACUCUGACGAGACUGCCGGUGACAACCGGAGGAAGGUGGGGAUGACGUCAGAAAGACCUAUGGCCUUUAUGUAGGAUCACGUCACACAAUGGUCAGACAGAGGUGCCAACCCAUGAGGGAGCAACCAAACCCGAUCAAACAUCUGAUCAUAGUCUGCAACCUGACUCGCUGCAGUCGGAACUGCAAACCGGUGGAUCAGCACAACAUGGUGAACUGUCUGUCUCUAACAACGCACCACGCCAUGGAGUGGGUUUACCUGAAGUAGCAGCCAACCUGUGGUGAGAGGCGCAUUUUAUCACGGUGAGGAUUCAUGACUGGGUGAAAGUUGUGAACAGUAAAGUAAAUUUUACAUUACUAUGCCAUCUCAGG
rnacentral:rRNA from 1 species